UUUUUUUUUUUUUUUAUGUCUGGUAUAUAGCAGUUCCAAGGCUAGGGGUAGAAUUGGACCUGCAGCUACUGGCCUACACCGCAGCCACAGCAACAUGGGAAAUGAGCCUCAUCUGUGACCUACCCCACAGCCUCAUAGCAAUGCCAGAUCCUUAACUCACUGAGCGAGGCUGGGGAUCGAACCGACAUCAUCAUGGACACUAGUCAGNNNNNNNNNNNNNNNNNNNNNNNNNNNNNNNNNNNNNNNNNNNNNNNNNNNNNNNNNNNAUACAGGGGUUGCAUUGACCUAAAGGCUCACUCUGUAUUUCCAUGCCUAACCAAAUACUAAAUUGUCAAUAUGAUACAUAAUUCUCUGUCUCAAAAUAUAUAAAACUUCAUCUCUAACUCCAGUUAGAGAACAGUUAAAUAGUUUUCAGUGCUUAAAAGAGAGAGUCUGUUUCCUAGGUUAAAAUCCUUGGAUUGGCUCAAAUAUAUUUUUUUCUUCUUAGCUUAAUUGUUAGUUGAAUUUCUAACAGCAGCCUGAAAUAAGAAAAUGGUACAAGAAGCAGGGUCUGCUCUAACAAAUACCUAAAAAUGUGAUGCUGCUUUGGAAUUAAGUAAUUGGUAGAGGCUAGAAAAGAUUUAAAGUGAAUGCUAGAAAAAUCUAGUAUUACCAUGAAGGGAAUUCUUAAGGCAAUUCUGGUGAGAGUUCAGAAAGAAAAAAGGGAAGCUGGAGAGGAAACUUCCAUCUUCUUAGAGGGCACAUAAUCAGGUACAGAAGGUUGGUAAAAGUGUGGGCACUGAAAACAAUUCUGAUGAGAUCUCAGAUGAAAAUGAGGAACAUGUUAUUAGAAAAUGGACAAAAGGCAAUCUGUUUUAUAAAGACACAAAGAACUUGGCUAAAUUGUGCUCAUGUUCUAGUGUUUUGUGGAAGUAGAAUUUGUAGGUAAUAUAACUUGAUAUUUAGCUGAGAUUUAUAAGCAAAAUGUUGAAGGAGUGGCUUGGUUUUGCCGGACUGCUUAGAGUAAAAUGUAAGAGGGAAAUAACUUGAAGAAGUAAUCAUUAAGCAAAACUGAAUCAGAACUUAAGUAUCUGUAAAAAUUUCAGCUGAUCCAUAUUGCUUAAAAUGAGAAAUGAUGUUUUGACAACAGCACUUGAGGGUAUGGCAAAGCAACCGCAUGACAAGGAGAUUGGUGUGAGUGUGACUACAUACCUAAUCACCCACCCCAGCAGGAACACUGCUAGUUUGAAUGAUGAUGGGGAAGAAGAUUGGACAGAAUAAAGUAAAUCUAUUGGACUUCUUAGAUUCUGCAGGACUUAACGAUAAGGUUAUUUGGCUAUGAACCUGUUUCCUCAAGAACCAGGAAGAAUGGUCCCAAGAGAAUUCAGAGAUCACCAGGCCACUGCCUGUGUUUCAAAAGGGUAAAUGACCUCUGACAGAAGUCAUAGGGGUGGGGCCCCUCCUGGGUGAGAAUGGCAUGGUGGGGGCUGCCAUAGAAAGCAGCCCUGCUGAGUUAUGGGGGUGAUAUUGCUUUCCUAGCAGGUGGACAGGGCAGAGCAUUAAGUCAAAGAUGAUUAUUUUCAAGUUUUAAGGUCUCAUGGAAUUUGUCUUGCUAAAUUUUGCACUCGUAUGGGACCCCAUAUCAUGUUAUUCUUUCCUAUUUCUCCCUUUUGGAAUAGAAAUCUCUAUCCUAAUCCUGUUUCAUUUAGAAGCACAUCACUUGUUUGUUUUUUUUAAACAGGUCAAAACUUAGAAGUUUUGUUCAGGAAGAAUCAUACCUCAGGUCAAAUUCAUAUCCAGUUUAGAUGAUAUUUAUGAGACUUUUGACUUCAGAAUUGAUUCUGGAAUGAAUUAAGACUUCAGACCUGUUGGGAUGGAAAUAAUGUAUUUUGCAUGUGAGAAGGACAUGAAUUUCAGAAAUCCAGGGAUGGAAUGCCAUGGACUGAAAACCUGUGUCCUUCAAAAAUUCCUAAUACCCAAAGUGACAGUAAUUGAAGAUGUGGAUAUUGGGAGGUAAUUAGGUCAUGAGGGUGGAGCCAUAAUGACAGGACUGGUGCCCUUAUAAGUAAAGUUACAAGAGAUCUGAUCUUUGUCUCUGUCUUCCUCAACUAUAUGAAGAUACAACAGGAAGGUGGCUGUCCAUAAGCUAGGAAGCAGGCCUUCACCAAACACCAGAUCUGCUAGCACCUUGAUCUUGGUCUUCCCAAGUCUCUUGAACUGUAAGGUAUAAAUUUACAUUGUUUAAACAACCCAGUCAAUAGUUACCAUGUAAUUCAAAAAUUUCAGUUCCAGAUAUAUACCUAAAAGAAUUGAAAAUACACAUUCAUACAAAAUCUUAUACUUAAAUAUUCAUGGCAGUAAUAUACAUGGUAACAAAAAAGUGUGAACAACCCUAAUGUCAAUCAAAUGAUUAACAAAUAAACAAUUGUGGUGUAUCCAUAAAGUGGAACAAUAUUUAUCCAUAAAAAGGAAUGAAGUAUUGAUACAUGUUAUGACAUGAAUUAAUCUUAAAAUCAUUAUGUUAAGCAAAAGGAGCCAGUCAGAAAAAGUUACAUAUUACAUAUUUUCAUUUCUAUGAAAUUCUCUGAAUAGGAAAAUUCAUAGACACAAAAUAUAGGGGAUGGGAAAGGAGAAAUGGGGAGUUAUUGCUAAUGAGUAAUGGGUAUAGUGUUACUUUUUGUGAUAAUAAAAAUGUUUUGGAAUAAAAUAAUGGUGAAUAUACUCACUAUUCUGUGAGUAUAAUAGAACUACUGAAUUGUACACUUUAAAAUGGUGAACCUCAAUUAAAAAGUAAGAUUAUUGUAUAUCUUGAUGAAAAUCAAUAAAUAAGGAAACACUGGAUGAAAAAAGGUCAAACUGGAAGUCUAAAUCUAGCAGAACUAUCUUUCAAAAGCAGAAAAAUAAUGACAUUUUCAGACAAACAAAAGCUCUUUCAGUUGCUUCACUGCCAUCAGAUGUGUACUAAAGUAUAAAGGAAUUUCUUCAGUCAAAUGGAAUAUAAUAACAGACCAAAAACCCUAGAUUUAUAUAGUUUAAAAUAUUCAGAAAUGAUUAAUGUGAAGAUGAAUAUAAAUUAUUUUUAGAUUAUUUUAAGUGCUUCUAAAGAAGACUUUAUUCAAUUAUUUCAAUAGAGGAAAACGAUUAAACUUAACCCCAAAAUGAAAGAUUAAUAGUUAACAGGUAGGGUGAGGUAAAGGAUGGAAACUUACCAUCAGGAAAGUGGUUAAGUACCAAAGAUGAGUGGAAGAGGAAAUUGAUUAUAUAUCAAUGAUGGCAGAUGAGACAUUUGACAAGAUAUCAAGGGUGGAUGGAUUCUCAAUAAACCAGUUUGGUAGGAUUCUUGCUAAAAGUGGGCUCAGCUGGCCAAGGAUUAGGCCUAGCUGAGAAGAGGACUCAAAUGAGCCUGACUAAAGUUUGGUCAAGGGGGGAAACCUGGACAGCCAUUCCUCAUGUUCAAGGAGGGAAAAGACUCUAUUCUUUCUUCUAAACAAUAUAAAUCCAUUUCGCUUUUGCCACCUUUUGUUCAAUUAGAACCAGCUGAACCAUCAGUUGAAAACUGGUA
rnacentral:lncRNA from 1 species